rnacentral:sRNA from 1 species
ACACGGAAGGGAGGUGGUCCAGGAAGUGAUUUCCCAUUGGACGCGUGAGGUGACUGCGCGCUAGUCGUGCACCUCGACUGCCGAGGUCGCGCCGCCCGGCGCAAUCCCAGCAGCUCACCGCAGCCCGCGGGCCGUGCAGGUCGUCCCCUGCACCCGCCGCCUCCCACACGGAGCGGCAAGGCCCGCGGGCUGUUCCGU